GACUUCAUGGCCCAAUGGAUAAGUUGCUGGUCUACGAAACCAGAGAUUAUGGUUUUAAUUCCCAGUGAAGUCA
rnacentral:tRNA from 1 species